UAUGCCCACAAAAUGAAAAUGACAUUAACAAAGAUGGCGCCGAGGGAGCUAGAAAAGUGCUGAGAGCAACAAACGAUACAACUACAUAACAGUGCAUGUUCGGAAACCAUUUGGGAAUAUUUUCAGGCCAGAAUUCCGCUUCAACUAAGGGAUGAUUUCGCCUAUAUUUCGACAGCUCACGCAGGACUCCCGAGACAGAAUUUAAAGCAAACUGGAACUGUUUGUCAACUAGCAGUUGAAGUAGCUUAGCGUCGCAAUCGUUAGCUAACUGCGGAAGGCAAGGGGGACGCGGUUCGAAGUACAGGGCGCCACAAGUCGAGCCCGAGCUUGUAAAUCAAACAACUUUUGCUUCCGACACCGUGACUAGCCUCGCCCGGACUGCACUGCGGACCCGUGUUGGGUAAAGCGACCACAUCGCCGAAGAGGCAAGCUGUUAAACGAGGUUGGAAAGCCGUCUUCGUAGCUGACCUGACGCAAUGGCUCACUCCCCGAUACAAAGUGGGCUUCCGGGGAUUCAGAACCUCAAAGCUGACCCAGAGGAGCUGUUCACCAAGCUGGAGAGGAUAGGCAAAGGUUCUUUUGGCGAGGUGUUUAAAGGCAUCGACAAUCGCACCCAGAAGGUGGUGGCCAUUAAAAUAAUUGACCUGGAAGAAGCGGAGGAUGAGAUUGAGGACAUCCAACAGGAAAUUACAGUUCUCAGCCAGUGCGACAGUCCUUUUAUCACCAAGUACUUUGGAUCCUAUCUCAAGGGGACAAAAUUAUGGAUUAUUAUGGAAUAUCUGGGCGGAGGGUCGGCCCUUGAUUUGUUGGAACCAGGCUCCUUGGAUGAGACUCAGAUUGCCACCAUUUUGAGAGAAAUCCUAAAGGGGCUCGAAUAUCUGCACUCUGAAAAGAAAAUUCACAGAGAUAUCAAAGCUGCCAACGUGUUGCUGUCGGAACAAGGCGAGGUGAAACUGGCCGACUUUGGCGUGGCGGGCCAGCUGACUGACACUCAGAUCAAAAGGAACACGUUCGUGGGGACUCCUUUCUGGAUGGCGCCUGAAGUCAUAAAACAGUCGUCAUAUGAUUCAAAGGCAGACAUCUGGUCGCUGGGCAUAACGGCGAUCGAGCUGGCGAAAGGAGAGCCGCCCCACUCGGAGCUCCAUCCCAUGAAGGUCUUGUUCCUCAUCCCAAAGAACAACCCACCGACGCUGGAGGGAAGUUACAGUAAACCACUGAAAGAGUUUGUGGAAGCCUGUUUGAAUAAAGAGCCUAGCUUUAGGCCAACCGCCAAAGAACUGCUGAAGCACAAGCUGAUCGUACGGCACGCCAAAAAGACAUCCUAUCUGACCGAGUUGAUCGACAGAUACAAGAGGUGGAAAGCGGAGCAGUCCCGAGACGAGUCCAGCUCCGGAGACUCCGACGAGGAGGCGCAAGGACAAGCGUCUGGAGGAAACACCCCCGCCAGUGAUGAUUGGAUCUUUAACACCAUCAGGGAGAAGGAACUGAAGAAGAUGCAGAAUGGGGCCGUGCAGCCUGCCGAGCUGGACAUUCAACCGACCUUACAAGAACAGGAGAGUCCAAAGAGGCCUAUGUCACAGAGCUUAUCCUCCAUCUUCUCUCCGUUAUUUUCUGAGUUGAGAGCCAAAGGAGAGACCAGCAAUGGCAAGCCGGAGGCUGCCGAGGCGCUGCAGAAAGCCAUUUUAGAAGCCGAAGACAUACAUCCGGGCGUGUGUGACUCGCUGGUGGCCGAACUGCUGCAGAGACUUCAGAGGAAGAGGAACUUGUAAAAAGAAUCGCAAUAUUGAAGAGGGGGAAAAAAAAUCACAGAUUUCUGCAAAUCAUUCAGCCCUAGUUAGGAUUUUCAAAUGCCAAAAGGUUUUCUGUGCCUCAGACCGCUGCCAGUCAUUGAGAGAAAAAAAAAAAGCACAAUUGAGCACCUUGGUGUGGACGCAUGGAUGAAGGCUUGCAAGCCGUCAUAGGAUUUGCGCUCCAUCACUCAUUAGCCUCCCAGCGCACACGCACACCACUAGAGGGUGCUCUCGUGGGCAGGAGAGUGGAUUUAAGCCAUCCUUCUCUCUUGAGCUCCUACUUUGGAGCUGUGCUAUGUGUGUGCUUGUGCGUGUUUUUUGGGGGAAAACUCAGGUAUCCUGCUUUUAAGGUCCUCUGGGAGGUCAAAUGAGCUCUACAGGAUGGUUGUAAAAACUUGUAAAUAAGUACAUUUCUACAGAUACAAGAACAAAAUAAUAAUGGUAAUGAUAAUAAUAAUAAUGAUGAUGUGCUUGUACAGAUGGCCAAACGCAGACUGUAGAUAAUAUUGGUUGUGAGAUAAAUGUGUUGAGAGUAGAACGGCCAUAUGUGAGAUUGCCUUCUGACUGUAUGUCACGCUUUGAUUUGUGUACAUUCAAAGUCCGUCAUUUCACACCACGUGACACCAAACAUCCUUUCUGGAUUAUUCUCACACACAAAUGCUGUCAUUUCAUUUAUUUUUUAUUUUAACCGUCAGACUUUGGAGUUUCUUUGUGGCUGAGUACAUCGCUGUCUUGUGUGUUUUGGUCAAUCGUUCACUUACGCCUAUGUGCAUUUCAACAAAGUGGAAUCCUGUAGACAGGUCCAUUUAAUUCAGUUUUACUAUAAUCUUCUAAAUUUCUGAGAUGCGCCUUUACUUGAGUCAGUGAAGGUCAGGGUUCUAAUCAAAUUUGUCGUCUUGGUGCCUAGCGGAAAACGCGUGAGAAUCCCAACCUUAGACUAAGAAAGAGGUGCGCUUGCAUUUGGAGUGCUGACUUUUACAGGAGGACAGAGGUUUGUGUUUGUAUAAGAAACGGCACUUUGCACGGGCUUGAUUGUUUCCCCGUUUCGUAGGCUACAAUGCGAUACUAAAGUCCAUCUCUUUGAGUUGUUUUCCUGCUUUGCCGAAUGACUGACUUGGAAUCUUUUCUCCCGUCGGAGUCCAGCGUGCUUGAUUUUUCGAAUUCCUCUGACUGCACUUUUGGGUAGCCAUACAACGCACAAAGGUAGUAACAGAAGACGCGCAGUACAUGUAGGCCAGUGGAAAGAAGACGUGAGAGCGUGCAGGCAGUGACGAGUAAGGAGGCAGGUGACUUGAGAUGAUGUCACAUGUGCAGUAAAUAAGAAAGUAGCUUGACGGGGGGUCCAAACAACAAACUAGCGGCAAAUGCGACCCAUUGUCUUUUUGUUUUAGUGUCUGAGGCUCAGACAAAAAAUAACAUUUUGAUUCAAUCCAAUGCUGUUAAAAAAAUUGUUUUCUCAAUAGAAACAAACAUUUAUGUACAUUUCCCAAAUAAUUUGUAUAUGUAUAUAUUUUGGUUUUAGAAGCAAAAGAAAUAUAUAUAUUGAACUUUCUUCUCAAUGUAAAGUUUGAUUUGUGAACAAACCACCUUAUUUCAGACGGCCCAUAUUGAUUCUGAAUGUGACGAUGUGUUCAGUGCAGGGGCGGCGCUAUCCUUGUGCUGUACAGGGCUGUGGGUCACCUUGAAAAAAGGCUGAAAAACAGUAACAGUUUUCCAAAAAGUUUAGAAUUAAUGAAUUGGUAUUUAGUGUGUUUAAUAAAGUAAAAAAAAAAAAUGCCUACAUUUCGCUCGAAUCCCUGGAAUUAAUUUUUUUUUCUGAAAUUUUGGACCCCACGGAUUAGCGCGUCAUAAACUAUCAGUGGUUGAGUACGUGUGACAGUGCAGCAGUAUGACACCCGGUGGUCGGUCCACUUCACGUAUGCGUUGUAGCACACGUUGAGCAGGACGACCGUCCGUGUUGAUUGUUGGCUUGACUUGAAUCAUUCUCAGAUGAUGUGACGUUGCAGUUUGGGGACAGAAUAGGAGCAGCUUUCAUAUGCUCAAAUCAAAAUCCCAUUGAGGAUACAAUGCUGGAUGCUCGGACUAAAAUAGUUGUUUUGCCGCAGUGUUUGUCGAUAAACUAAAUUAGGUCCUCAAAAUCAAAUAUUUACAGUUCACUGACUUGACUGGCUGUUCUUUUUUUUUUUUUCUCUGCUCCCCAGUAAAACGUGCCAUUUGAGAACACAUUUCAACUAAUUCAAUUAUGAUUUGCACCUUUUACAUGCUCAAAAUAGACUCAUUUUCAUGUGUAUUGUUUUUGCGUUGCACUUUGUCUGAGUUUUUAUUCGGUAUGCGGUACUUACCGAGGCUACCAAUAUUCUGUCGCGCUUACACCGCCGCUUUUAUUGUCAUUCCGCGUCCCAUUUCGUGUGUCAUGGCAAUAAAGCGUAGUGUGACGGCCAGGAUUAAUAAUGUCUUAGCACAACUAUAUUCUUCUUUCAAACUAUUUUUAUAACCCAGAGGAGCAGUAUUAUUUAAUAGCGCUAGCAACGUCUGGUGAUGUGUCUUAAAGAAUCGGUAAACACUGGAAAGCAAAUGUACAUUUUAUGUGAUGACUCCAAUAGACAUGUUUGUUCAUUCAAGGCAGUGCUGUUGGGUUGAUUGGACUUUGUCAAUUGAUUAUGACGGAAAUAAAAAUCUAGCACAGA